rnacentral:rRNA from 1 species
GACGAACGCUGGCGGCGUGCUUAACACAUGCAAGUCGAACGGAAAGGCCCUGCUUUUGUGGGGUGCUCGAGUGGCGAACGGGUGAGUAACACGUGAGUAACCUGCCCUUGACUUUGGGAUAACUUCAGGAAACUGGGGCUAAUACCGGAUAGGAGCUCCUGCUGCAUGGUGGGGGUUGGAAAGUUUCGGCGGUUGGGGAUGGACUCGCGGCUUAUCAGCUUGUUGGUGGGGUAGUGGCUUACCAAGGCUUUGACGGGUAGCCGGCCUGAGAGGGUGACCGGCCACAUUGGGACUAAGGUACGGCCCAGACUCCUCCGGGAGGCAGCAGUGGGAAAUAUUGCACAGUGGGCGGAAGCCUGAUGCAGCAACGCCGCGUGCGGGAUGACGGCCUUCGGGUUGUAAACCGCUUUCGCCUGUGACGAAGCGUGGGUGACGGUAAUGGGUAAAGAAGCACCGGCUAACUACGUG